AGUUAAUGAACUUGUACAAGUAUAUGUUUUGAAAACAUAAUAAAGAAGUAAAAUCUUCUAUUGACUU
rnacentral:tRNA from 1 species